UGUGAGUGGUGUUUGGAUGUGUGUGUCGGCAGGCUCCGUGCUUCCUGCAUCGAACUGUCGACCCUCAUUCCUCUUCAAUCUUUCCCCCGCGAUCGUUGCGUCCGGGGGUGCAAUCGGGAUCCUGUGCUGCUUACCCAAAUCGAUGGAAUUCGGAUGUCGUGCCGUCCCUCGUCCGCCUCGCGCCCUGGCGGGCUGCGCGGUGGUCUUCGUUCAUGCCCGGCCUUCCAAGUGCGCCCCCGAAUUCGGUGCGGCCGCCUUGGGGCGUCGGUCCAUGAUCGUGCUUACGGAUGCGGAAAGCCUUGUCGGCGUGGGGCCGUGCCCCCGCUCAGUCGGAUGCGAUGGGUUUCGUCCCUCGGAAUGUACGACGCUCGUGCCCCGUCUUGGACUCUCCGCUGCCCCCGCGGCGCGUCGAGUCCCAUGCGGUGCCGACGUCGCG
rnacentral:misc_RNA from 1 species